GAUGAACGCUGGCGGCGUGCCUAAUACAUGCAAGUCGAGCGAACGGACGAGAAGCUUGCUUUUCUGAUGUUAGCGGCGGACGGGUGAGUAACACGUGGAUAACCUACCUAUAAGACUGGGAUAACUUCGGGAAACCGGAGCUAAUACCGGAUAAUAUUUUGAACCGCAUGGUUCAAAAGUGAAAGACGGUCUUGCUGUCACUUAUAGAUGGAUCCGCGCUGCAUUAGCUAGUUGGUAAGGUAACGGCUUACCAAGGCAACGAUGCAUAGCCGACCUGAGAGGGUGAUCGGCCACACUGGAACUGAGACACGGUCCAGACUCCUACGGGAGGCAGCAGUAGGGAAUCUUCCGCAAUGGGCGAAAGCCUGACGGAGCAACGCCGCGUGAGUGAUGAAGGUCUUCGGAUCGUAAAACUCUGUUAUUAGGGAAGAACAUAUGUGUAAGUAACUGUGCACAUCUUGACGGUACCUAAUCAGAAAGCCACGGCUAACUACGUGCCAGCAGCCGCGGUAAUACGUAGGUGGCAAGCGUUAUCCGGAAUUAUUGGGCGUAAAGCGCGCGUAGCGGUUUUUUAAGUCUGAUGUGAAAGCCCACGGCUCAACCGUGGAGGGUCAUUGGAAACUGGAAAACUUGAGUGCAGAAGAGGAAAGUGGAAUUCCAUGUGUAGCGGUGAAAUGCGCAGAGAUGUGGAGGAACACCAGUGGCGAAGGCGACUUUCUGGUCUGUAACUGACGCUGAUGUGCGAAAGCGUGGGGAUCAAACAGGAUUAGAUACCCUGGUAGUCCACGCCGUAAACGAUGAGUGCUAAGUGUUAGGGGGUUUCCGCCCCUUAGUGCUGCAGCUAACGCAUUAAGCACUCCGCCUGGGGAGUACGACCGCAAGGUUGAAACUCAAAGGAAUUGACGGGGGCCCGCACAAGCGGUGGAGCAUGUGGUUUAAUUCGAAGCAACGCGAAGAACCUUACCAAAUCUUGACAUCCUUUGACAACUCUAGAGAUAGAGCCUUCCCCUUCGGGGGACAAAGUGACAGGUGGUGCAUGGUUGUCGUCAGCUCGUGUCGUGAGAUGUUGGGUUAAGUCCCGCAACGAGCGCAACCCUUAAGCUUAGUUGCCAUCAUUAAGUUGGGCACUCUAAGUUGACUGCCGGUGACAAACCGGAGGAAGGUGGGGAUGACGUCAAAUCAUCAUGCCCCUUAUGAUUUGGGCUACACACGUGCUACAAUGGACAAUACAAAGGGCAGCGAAACCGCGAGGUCAAGCAAAUCCCAUAAAGUUGUUCUCAGUUCGGAUUGUAGUCUGCAACUCGACUACAUGAAGCUGGAAUCGCUAGUAAUCGUAGAUCAGCAUGCUACGGUGAAUACGUUCCCGGGUCU
rnacentral:rRNA from 1 species